rnacentral:rRNA from 1 species
AUUGAACGCUAGCGGCAUGCCUAACACAUGCAAGUCGAACGGAGUGGCGGACGGGUGAGUAAUAUAUCGGAACGUGCCUAGUAGCGGGGGAAAAAUAGUCGAAAGAGUGGAUAAUACCGCAUAAUCUUGUAGCGGCCGAUGUCGUUUUAGCUAGUUGGGGGGGUAAAGGCACACCAAGGCAACGAUCCGUAGCUGGUUUGAGAGGACGACCAGCCACACUGGGACUGAGACACGGCCCAGACUCCUACGUGAGGCAGCAGUGGGGAAUUUUGGACAAUGGGGGAAACCCUGAUCCAGCCAUCCCGCGUGUAUGAUGAAGGCCUUCGGGUUGUAAAGUACUUUUGGCAGAGAAGCGGUAUCUGCAGAAUAAGCACCGGCUAACUACGUGCCAGCAGCCGCGGUAAUUC